AACGCGAAGAACCUUACCUGGGCUUGACAUCCUGUGAACAUCUAAGAGAUUAGGUUUCCGAGCAAUCGGACACAGAGACAGGUGCUGCAUGGCUGUCGUCAGCUCGUGCCGUGAGGUGUUGGGUUAAGUCCCGCAACGAGCGCAACCCUUGUCGUGUGUUGCCAUACCGAAAGGUGGAACUCGCAGGAGACCGCCAGGGAUAACCUGGAGGAAGGUGGGGAUGACGUCAAGUCCUCAUGGCCUUUAUGUCUAGGGCUACACACGUGCUACAAUGGACGGUACAAAGCGUCGCUAACCUGCGAAGGGGAGCCAAUCGCAAAAAACCGUUCUACAGUUCGGAUUGCAGGCUGCAACUCGCCUGCAUGAAGCUGGAAUCGCUAGUAAUGGCAGAUCAGCACGCUGCCGUGAUACGUUCCCGGCCUUGUACACACCGCGCAUA
rnacentral:rRNA from 1 species